rnacentral:rRNA from 2 species
GAUGAUUUUUUUAUUUUUAGGUUAUGGAAGAAGUAUCUUUAAUGGUAGUAUAUUUUAGAAAUUAAUUGAAUAAUGAUAGUGAAUAGUAUAGUGAUAGGACUAUGAGUUACGUUGUUAGUUAUAAAAAAGAAGAAUUGAUUUUUUGUACCUUGUGUAUCAGGGUUUAUUAAAAUAGGUUUAUUAUUUGGCUUUCUCGAAUUAGAAAGAGCUAUAACUUUAUAAAUUUAAUUGUGGCAUAAGUUUUUUAAAUAGAGUUAUGGUAGUGAAAUGUUAGUCGUUUUUUAUGAUAUCUGGUUUCUUAAGAAACAAAUUUAAUUUGGUUUUUUGAAUCUACAGGAUUGAUUUUUAUAGUUUUGUAAUUUAAAGAUUUAAUGUUCCUGGGGAUAAGCUUGGGAACAGAUUUUUAUACUUUAUGAGUUUUGUUAAUAGUUAGUAGGAUUGGUAAUUUCUUUCUUUAGUUUGUUAUAAUUAACUUUUGGUUAAAUAAGAUUUAUAUUUGGUUUAAGUUUUAUAUUAAGAUUAUGAGUUUAAUAUUGUGUUUUAUGAGAUAAUGAUAAAAUUAGUAUAUGUUGGUGUAUUAUUAUUUUUUUUUCUUAAGGUUAAGUUAAGGAAUUCGGCAAAUAUAUUUUUCGCCUGUUUAUUAAAAACAUGUCUUUUUGAUUAUAAUUUAAAGUCUGACCUGCCCAAUGAGGAUUUUAAUGGCCGCGGUAAUUUGACCGUGCAAAGGUAGCAUAAUCAUUAGUUUUUUAAUUGAAAGCUGGUAUGAACGGUUGGACGAGAAAAUGACUGUCUCAAUUUAAUUGAAAAUAGAAUUUUAUUUAUAAGUUAAAAAGCUUAUAUAGAUUUAAAAGACGAGAAGACCCUAUAGAAUUUUAUAGAUAAACAUUUAUUUAAUAAUUGGGAUAAAGAGUUUUAUAUGUGUUGACUAUUUUAUUGGGGCGAUAGAAAAAUUGAUAAAACUUUUUUUUGUUUGUGUCAUUGAUUUAUGAAUAAUUGAUCCGUUAGUUACGAUUAUAAGAUUAAAUUACCUUAGGGAUAACAGCGUAAUUUUUUUUAGAGUUCUUAUCAAAAAAAGAGUUUGCGACCUCGAUGUUGGAUUAAAAUUAACUUUUGGUGCAGGAGCUAAAAGGUUAGGUCUGUUCGACCUUUAAAAUUUUACAUGAUCUGAGUUUAAACCGGCGUGAGCCAGGUUGGUUUCUAUCUUUAAAAACAGUGAAUGCUUUAGUACGAAAGGAUUAGGUAUUUGUAAUGGUUACUAUUAUUUGAAUAUGAUUA